UGUUUAUCUGCGGCAAGGAUCUUCCAAAGCUCACAAAGUCUGUGCUCUCAUCACCUUUGUCUCUGCUUCAACAUAAGAGAUCGGAGUUGAAAAACAGCACAACAUUU